AGCUCCAAUAGCGUAUAUUAAAGUUGUUGCAGUUAAAAAGCUCGUAGUUGGAUUUCUGGAUGGAGCGACCGGUCGGGCAUUAAUUUGUCUGCACUGGAGUCGGUUCCGUCCAUCCUCUUGGAAAGUGCGUCGGGCAUUAAGUUGUUUGGCGUAUGAUCCAAGUCGUUUACUGUGAAAAAAUUAGAGUGUUUAAAGCAGGCCUUCGCCUUGAAUACAUUAGCAUGGAAUAAUAAGAUAGGACUUUGGUCUAUUUUGUUGGUUUGCAGACCGAAGUAAUGAUUAAUAGGGAUAGUUGGGGGUAUUUAUAUUCCGAUGUCAGAGGUGAAAUUCUUAGAUUUUCGGAAGAUAAACUUAUGCGAAAGCAUUUACCAAGGAUGUUUUCAUUAAUCAAGAACGAAAG
rnacentral:rRNA from 1 species